CGCGUGGUGUCCGACGGCAAAACGGUUGGAUAGCGACGCGGCCUAAACAGAGGU
rnacentral:ncRNA from 1 species